rnacentral:rRNA from 1 species
GAUCAUGGCUCAGGAUGAACGCUAGCUACAGGCUUAACACAUGCAAGUCGAGGGGCAGCGGGAUUGAAGCUUGCUUCAAUUGCCGGCGACCGGCGCACGGGUGAGUAACGCGUAUCCAACCUUCCGUACACUCGGGGAUAGCCUUUCGAAAGAAAGAUUAAUACCUGACGGUAUGAUGAGAUUGCAUGGUAUCAUCAUUAAAGAUUUAUCGGUGUACGAUGGGGAUGCGUUCC